rnacentral:rRNA from 1 species
GACGAACGCUGGCGGCGUGCUUAACACAUGCAAGUCGAGCGGUAAGGCCCUUUCGGGGGUACACGAGCGGCGAACGGGUGAGUAACACGUGGGUGACCUGCCCUCAGCUCUGGGAUAAGCCUGGGAAACCGGGUCUAAUACCGGAUAUGACUCCAUGACGCAUGUUGUGGGGUGGAAAGCCUUGUGCGGCUGAGGAUGGGCCCGCGGCCUAUCAGCUUGUUGGUGGGGUGAUGGCCUACCAAGGCGACGACGGGUAGCCGGCCUGAGAGGGCGACCGGCCACACUGGGACUGAGACACGGCCCAGACACCUACGGGU